rnacentral:rRNA from 1 species
GACGAACGCUGGCGGCGUGCUUAACACAUGCAAGUCGAACGGAAAGGCCCUGCUUUUGUGGGGUGCUCGAGUGGCGAACGGGUGAGUAACACGUGAGUAACCUGCCCUUGACUUUGGGAUAACUUCAGGAAACUGGGGCUAUUACCGGAUAGGAGCUCCUGCUGCAUGUUGGGGGUUGGAAAGUUUCGGCGGUUGGGGAUGGACUCGCGGCUUAUCAGCUUGUUGGUGGGGUAGUGGCUUACCAAGGCUUUGACGGGUAGCCGGCCUGAGAGGGUGACCGGCCACAUUGGGACUGAGAUACGGCCCAGACUCCUACGGGAGGCAGCAGUGGGGAAUAUUGCACAAUGGGCGGAAGCCUGAUGCAGCAACGCCGCGUGCGGGAUGACGGCCUUCGGGUUGUAAACCGCUUUCGCCUGUGACGAAGCGUGAGUGACGGUAAUGGGUAAAGAAGCACCGGCUAACUACGUG